ensembl:lncRNA LINC02991 long intergenic non-protein coding RNA 2991
GUCACUGUCUUGGGCUGUGUGCUGACGGGAGCCAGGGCCUUGUAAGGCCCAGACCCUCCUCCUUCUCUCCCGUAUUAGUCAAGGUUCUCCAGAGAAAUGGAGUUAGAGAUGCAUUGCUAUAAGAAAUGGAAUGGGCUCGCAUGAUUACAGAGGCUGAGGGGUCCUACACCCUGUCGUCUGCAAGCUGGAAAGGCAGGAGAGUCUGUGCUGCAGCCCUAGCCAGAGCCUGGAGGCCCGAGAACCAGGCACGCCGACGACAGCACACUUCCAGCCUGAGAGCAAGAGAAGGUCAGUGUUCCAGCUCCAGCAGGCAGGCAGAGGGAGGGUUCUCUCUCCACCUUUGUGUUCUACUCAGGUCUUCAAUGGGUUGGAUGAGGCCCAUCCACAUUGCGAGGGCGUCUGCUUCACUGAAUCCACCAUCGUACCUGCUUCUCUUGGAUGCCGUCCGAUUGCAGAGACGCUGUUCCCUUGAGGGUUCCUGCCCCACCGUGUGUGCUGGUGCUAGGAUGUCUGCCCUGGUCCAGCCCUGCACCCCUGAGUCAGAGGCUCUUACUCUGGGUUCAAUUAAGAAGGUUAUUUGGCCCCCACACAAAGCUAAGACUUUCACCUUGGCAUUUGUUAGGAAUUCUUUCCUGAAGUUGGACAGUUUGGCCAUGUUCAAGCCUCUGAAUUCUUCCAUAGAAUUGUCUUCUGGAAAUCAUGCCACAGUAAUUUAAGUCUCCCCGGCUGUAUGUGUGAGGACUUCUUACCCUCUUGGGCAUGGAGGGGUUAGCAUGUUUGGUAGCCAUUCUAGUCAUAGUAGGUUGACAGUUGAGUGUUUCCUAGAUCUUUCCAAGUAGACCAGCAUGACUAUGGAAGAGGCCCUGAAGGUCCCACCCCGACACGCCAGUCCGAAGGGCCCUUGCCUGGGCACCCUGCACCUUCCCCUGGACCUGCUGAUGCGCCUGGCUGGGGGAAUGCGGGCCUUCGCGUUGGUUCCACCUCCAGCUUCCAUGACUGUGGAGUUCUGCAGUGGGUUCAUUGAGAAAGUGGUGGUGAGACCAGGGUAUCUGAGAGGAGUGGUCGGCAGGGAGAUGAGACAAGUGUGGAGACCAGGCAGAUGGAAGGCGCAUGUCUGGAGGGUGUGAGAGCUGCCAGGUGGGUGUCUGCAGGGUCUUGCAGAGUCGCUCAGCCGCAGGUGGGGCGGCUCUGGAGACCCUAUCAGCACAUUCCAGAGAGUGGCAGACCCCACGGCCAGGCAUGGACUGAUGAGCAGGACUGUCCUCCACUGUCCAGACAACAGCACAGAUGAAACCCAGGAGCGCCUGGGACGGUGCUGUGAGCCCUGCACAUCCACGGAGUCUCUCAGAUGAAACCACACGGGUGUCACAGUGACGCUCUCUCCCCUCAGAGGCUGCCGACCCCUCGCUGGGCUGCUGGACUGCUCAGGGCCGGCCCUUGAAGCCUGGAGGGAGCCAUGGGUCUGUGUGUACACAUGUGUGUGCCCGUGAGUGAGUCUAUGUGUGAUCUCUGAAAAUGAAGCUUCCACAUUACCAAUGCCUGGAGAAUCCAGAACUGGGACUCCCAGGUAACUGAGGGCCUGGGUCCCAAAGCUGGUGGCUGAAGCUGGCUGCUCCGAGGCAUGCGUGGCAGGAAGGGGUCAUCAGGAGGGCCACCCAAGGCCCCGGGCACCUCUGAUGGGUUUCCAGAGUCCCUGCCCUCACGAGAGGGAAGUCAGUUGGAGAAUGGGGUGCUGAAGUCUCGAGAGAAAGGUGUCCUUGACUCGGGGUCCAGAGUAAGCAGCUUCUGCCCCCCAUAUCACGUGGCUAGUGGCUUGUCCUGACUGUGCCCCACGUGUCAUGGCAAAGUUUCGACACCCACUUUGGAGAUGUCUUGACAGAGGCCAGCGUCAGGCUCCCGUUCUUCCACACGCUGGAAGCUGCUGCACAGCGGGCUCAGAGCCUGGGCUCAGGAGGCAUCCCGGUUACUGUUGCUGUAUCCUGGAGGGUGGCAUCUCCUGGGAGCUGUGGUCCGAGCCCCUUGCAACAGCGGGGCCAGGAGAAGGCUGGUUGCUGGGUGCAUCCUGUUCUUGGGGUUCCACCUGCUGUAUCCAUCUCCCGGGGGAUUUUCCGUCGCCGUCCUUGGUUCCAGCACAUGCCCUGAGUGGUAAUGCCGAUUCCUGCCUGUGCUGCCGACUUGGUGCGGGGAGCCUGUGGCUGCUCUGUCAGGUGGUUGGCCCCGAUGGCUCCAUGGGUGGCCCCCGCCCAGGCAUCUCAUGGAGGGACUCUGCCUACGUCACUGGCCGCCAGUCCUGGGGGACACCGUGUGCAUUUGCACAUGAACCAUGAUGGGAACCUGGGGGACGGGUCUCAGGCUGAGAAAGGUUCCCCUGGGCUUCAAGGUAAAUCAUAAAGCGAGGUAAUUUCCUAUAAGUGUCAGAGGACACUGUAACUGUCCCUUCUGAGCAGGACAUUGUUGUGGUUGUCUGUCUUCCCUUUUGUCUUCUGCCUGUGGGAUUAUCUAGAUUCUGAGCAGGUAAAUUGUUUCAGGCUCUGGCCUUCUCAGAGCCUUUCUGUGGCUGUAGGUUGUGGGGAGGGCACCAUGGUAGUUGCCCCUGCUUCAUUCACUCAGAGCCACUGACAGGGGCCCCCCAACCUGCUCGGAGCCCUCCAGGGGCAGGCACUGUCCCUGCUGCCCCCCUGCUGCCCUGAACAUCUCCCCAGCCCCACAGCUGACCCACCCUUUCAGGGUAACAGUGCAGCUGCGGGGGCAGCCCCCUCCAGCCCUUCCUUGGUCAGCCUCCCUGCUGCUGGCCCUUCCUGGAGACGUGAUUUGCCCUAGAAGUGGCAGGUGUGUGUGGCUCAUGCCCUCACUGUAAGGCUGUGCCAAGGCAGUGCCACCUUGGGAAAAAUCAAAACCCCAUACCAGCUCCUCCCAGUCCAUGCCAGCACACACCCUGGCUCCUCAGAACCCCCCACAGAAGCAGGCAAGGAAUCAAAAACUCAAGUCUGCAGGAAGCCAGGCAGGGAUGGAGGAGGGGUAUACUGUCACAGGUGAGAGGGUCCCAGAAGCCUUUCUGGAGGAGGUGACUUCAGGCUGGAUUUGGAGGGGCAACUUAACAAGCAGACAGGUGGGUGGAGACGCUCCAGCAGAGGAAAUGGCAUGGAGUGUCCAGGAGCCCACGAAUCAGCUGGCAUUGUUGAAUCAUGGAGAACGCAGAGACGGUCUCAGAAGUCGGCCGGAGCCUGAGUCAUUGGGCCACGCGGCUUCAGUCCUUCCUUGCAGCCUGUGGGGAGUCUCAGGGGAAUUCUGAGGAGGAAAGGGGGAUGCUCAUGAUAGGUAUUUAUUGUUUUUGUUUGUUUGUUUUUAAUCACUUAUUUUCACAAGUGUAAUCGAAGCACCUGGUUGUGAGUCCAGGAGAGUAAAACAUUUAGCCCUCGCCCCUCCCAUCCAUCACGGAUUUUCUGACGCCUGCAGCAGGGUUCCUGCCAAAGGAAAACCCAUUUAUAGUCAUAUACUUCCGUGAACCUUUGAUAUAACCCAGUUAUGUAUCUAGAAACCUGCCUUUUCAAAAAUAUUAACCUGUCUAUAAAUGUAGUAAAUGUUAUAUAAAAUGCAAUCAUGUUUAAGAAGUUAACUAUUGUUAUAUUAAUUCGAGUUGAACAAUUCAAAUUCUCAACUUCAUUUAUAAACAUAGUUAAUUAAAUUCCUUUAUGCAUAU